rnacentral:rRNA from 1 species
CGCGUAGGCGGCUUUGUAAGUCUGGAGUGAAAGUCCUCUUUUCAAGGGAGGAAUUGCUUUGGAAACUAUAGAGCUUGAGUGCAGGAGAGGUUAUCGGAAUUCCCGGUGUAGCGGUGAAAUGCGUGGAUAUCGGGAGGAACAUCGGUGGCGAAGGCGGGUAACUGGACUGCAACUGACGCUGAGGCGCGAAAGUGUGGGGAGCAAACA